rnacentral:rRNA from 1 species
UGAUGCGUAGUUCUUACCACACCCAUAAACGCCCGGGAAUUACGAGUAAACUUAAAACCCAAAGGACUUGACGGUGUCCCAUUCCCCCUAGAGGAGCCUGUUCUAUAAUCGAUAACCCCCGCUCUACCUCACCACUUUUUGCUUAUUCAGCCUGUAUACCUCCGUCGUAAGCUUGCCCUGUGAACGUCUAUCGAGCAAGCCCAAGGGCCUUACCACCAACACGUCAGGUCAAGGUGCAGUCCAUGAAGUGGGAAGCAAUGGGCUACAAUUUCUAAGCUAGAACAAACAAAAUACUGCAUGAAACACAGUCAUGAAGGUGGAUUUAGUAGUAAAAAAAAAUUAGCGAGUCUUUUUUAAUCCGGCCCUGGGACGUGUACACACCGCCCGUCACCAACAAA